rnacentral:rRNA from 1 species
UACGUAGGGACCAAGCGUUGUUCGGAUUACUGGGCGUAAAGGGCGCGUAGGCGGCGUGACAAGUCACUUGUGAAAUCUCCGGGCUUAACUCGGAACGGCCAAGUGAUACUGUCGUGCUAGAGUGCAGAAGGGGCAAUCGGAAUUCUUGGUGUAGCGGUGAAAUGCGUAGAUAUCAAGAGGAACACCUGAGGUGAAGACGGGGUUGCUGGGCUGACACUGACGUGGAGGCGCGAAAGCUAGGGGGAGCAAACGGG